rnacentral:rRNA from 1 species
ACUGUUUAUCAAAAACACAGGUCUCUGCUAAACCGUAAGGUGACGUAUAGGGGCUGACGCCUGCCCGGUGCUGGAAGGUUAAGAGGAGUGGUUAGCGCAAGCGAAGCUACGAAUCGAAGCCCCAGUAAACGGCGGCCGUAACUAUAACGGUCCUAAGGUAGCGAAAUUCCUUGUCGGGUAAGUUCCGACCCGCACGAAAGGCGUAACGAUUUGGGCACUGUCUCAACGAGAGACUCGGUGAAAUCAUAGUACCGGUGAAGAUGCCGGUUACCCGCGACAGGACGGAAAGACCCCGUGGAGCUUUACUGUAGCCUGAUAUUGAAAUUCGGUACAGUUUGUACAGGAUAGGUAGGAGCCUUAGAAGCGUGAGCGCUAGCUUACGUGGAGGCAUUGGUGGGAUACUACCCUAAUUGUAUUGGAUUUCUAACCCGCAGCACUUAUCGUGCUGGGAGACAGUGUCAGGCGGGCAGUUUGACUGGGGCGGUCGCCUCCUAAAGAGUAACGGAGGCGCUCAAAGGUUCCCUCAGAAUGGUUGGAAAUCAUUCAUAGAGUGUAA